GGAGCUUGAAACUUAAAAUUUUUGGCGGUUUUUUAGGCUAGUUAGAGGAAUCUGUCCUUUUAUGGAUAACCCACAGUUGAUUUUACUUUCUUUAUAGUUUAUAUAUCGCCGUCGUAAAAUAAAUUUUUUAGGGUUUGUUUGGAAACUAGAGAUAGUGGAGAGAUGACAGGUCAAGGUUUAGCUGAUGAGAAAGGGUGAGAUGGAUUACAUUGAAAGAUAUUCAAGAUGGAAAUUGAGUGGAAAUUGAUUUGGAAAAUGGAUUUAAAAGUAAUUAUUGAUUAUAAUGUUAUAUUGGAUAUAGCUCUAGAGAAUGUACAUAUCGCCCGUCACUCUCGUUGAUGAGAUGAGAUAAGUCGUAACAAAGUGGGAGUAUUGGAAAAUGCGUCUGGAGUCAA
rnacentral:rRNA from 1 species